AAUUCUGGCCAAUGGCUAUCAUCGUAGUUGAUGAGAUUACCCAUGAAAUUUACAGAGCUUCCUCUCUUCGGCCUCAUUCCUUACAGCUUUAUGUUAGGACCAAAAAUCCCAAUGGCACCAACGGAUUCAACAUUCCAAUGGCUGAGCUUUCAAAAAGUAGUCACCAUGGAAUCCCACAGACCCCCACAUGAAUGACGAUGGAGAAAUGCUGUGUACACACUGCCCAGCAAAUGGCGGUUGUACCUUGCAGACAGACAUCAGGAACAGGGAAUUUGGGAGUUCCUGUCGAAGUGCCAGUUCAUGGAAGUGCCAGUUCAUGCAGCUUCAUGUGGCAUCAAAAGAGUUCCUGUCGAAGUGCCAGUUCAUGCAGCUUCAUGUGGCAUCAAAAGCUGCUGCAACAUGCUUGCGUGUCUACAUCUGCCCUCUGAAAGGUGCACUUGUGGAUCACAGCCAAGUGGAGUAGUGCAGGAUCUAGCAUGCUUGUCACACAGGCAACCAUGACUGUUGGAGGAAAACCAGAAUCUGGGUUCAGAAGGGACAACUGCACAGACACGUACUGGGUUCUGAGGAGCUUCCUGGAAAAGUUUCAUUAACAGUAUUUCAAUGUAAAAAUGAAAUAUUUGCAACUAAUUGUGUUUUCAGUUUUU